AGGUAUGAGCUACCACACCCGGCCCUUUUUCUAUUUUUUUAAGAGAGGGAGUCUCACUAUGUUGCCCAGGCUGGAUUCAAACUCUCGGGCUCAAGCCAUCCUCCUGUGUCAGCCCCCUCAGGAGCUGCGAUGACAUGCACAUGCCACUGUGCUUGGCAACUUUUCAUGUUUUUCCAUUUCCACUGGAUUGUAAAUAAACUGAAGGCAAGGUCCAGAACCUGUGUGUGCUUGCAGGCCCACCAGCACUAGAGAUAUGUAGCUUGAGCUGGACAGAGAUUUAGGGCAUAGAACUUUAUUUUCAUUUUAUUUUUUGUAGAGGUAGGAUCUCACUAUGUUGCCCAGGCUGGUCUCAAACUCCUGGGCUUCCAGUGAUCCUUCUGCCUCAGCCUCCUGAAGUGCUGGGAUUACAGGUGUGAACCACUGUGCCUGGCCUUAGGGCACAGAAUUAAUGCAGUGUGAAAGGAAGUGCAUCUAGCCCAGCCCCCCAUUGAUGGAUUCAUCUACAUUCACCAGACAAGGUAGGGAGUUCAGGAUGAGUUGCUAUUAUUUACAAAGUGAUAACGUUUCCACUUGAAAUCAUGGUCCUGUGCGUUCAUUCACCCCUCUAACUUUUCAAAUCAGGAGACAGUGACUAGAGGCCCUGCCCACCAUCCCCACAGCAAAUGUCAUGAGAAUUUCAGGUCCAUCCUGACAACCGUCCCGUCUCAGUGCCUGGACAGCCACAGUGACGUGAUCCAGCCCCUGUGGAAGCAGGUGGAGCUGCUCGUCAACACACAUUACACCAAGGCCAUUGGCAUCUCGGAGCCCGUCAAGGUGCCGUACUCCAAGUUUCUGAUGCACCCGGAGGAGCUGUUGGUGGUGGAGCUGCGUGAAGGCAUCUCCCUCCGCAGGUCCAACUGCUUCGGGAUCGCCAAGUUCCAGAAGGUUCUGAAGGCCAGCAACAGCAUCCAGUUUGUCAUCAAGAGGAUGUCUGAAAAGGAGAGACUCUAUGGAGUGUGGAUACAGAAAAGGAGUUAUUCCCACCGGAAAAAAAUGAACUGUGGACAU